UUUUCUAGACUUGAAAAUUAUGAUUGUUUUUAAGAAUGGUAUACAGAGAAGAUUAUCAUGGUCUCUGCACAAGGAUGACAAGCAUUCCAUAUUUAAAGAAUGGUCUAUAU